rnacentral:tRNA from 1 species
AGAGACUUAGGAUAGCACAAGACCAGAGGCCUUCAAAGCCCCCAGCGGGGGUGAGAAUCCCCCAGUCCCUG